GAAAUCCCGCCCGGGUAACCGCUAGCCACGGCCCCGGUAUCGAGCCUUGCAGUCAGCGCGGUAACGGGUUGAUUGAUGCGUAGGCACGAAAGCAGGCGAAGUGCAAAGGUAACGGGUGAAGCCGACCCUGAAGAUGUAGAGCCCCGAAAAUUAUUUCUUGGAGAGUGCCGACCGGUUUGACCCUCCGGCAGGCAACAAGCGGCAUCGCGAUGAGGCGAGUAAUGCGGCUCCUCCCCGGGGUCCGAAGCCG
rnacentral:ncRNA from 1 species